AGAGCACGGAGGGUGGGGGCGGGACUGGCAUCCCUUGCACCUGCCCGGGUGUGCCCUGCCUGCGGGGUCCGCGGGAGGUGGCGAGGGGCCCGAGAGCUCGGAGCCCCCCUCCUGGAGGGGGCUCGCCGGAACCCAGCCGGCCUCGCGCGCCGGCGACCGAGCCCCUGCCCCUGCUGCCCGGUCCCGGCGGGGGCGCGGCGGGACCCGAGGUCCGGGGUGCCCGUGGCCUCCCGUGGAAGCCCCCGCGCGGGCUCCAGGCCGUCUCUGGCCCGGCCCUUCCCGGAGCUGGUCACAUCUGGCCGGCGCGGGCCCGGCUCGCCCGCCCGCGGCGGCCGGAGGGGGCGUGUUUGCGAAGGGCUCGCGUCGCGGAGCGGGGCCGGCCUGGCCGAGCGCGGCCGACCUCCGACCCGGCCCGCAGGGGCCCGAGGGGCCGGGCCGGAGGGCAGCGGCGGCGGCCCCGGGGGAGCCCGGGCAGGGCCGGGCUUGGGGCCGCGGGGCGGUGGGCGAGGCGCGGGGGCCUCGCGGCCGAGGGCACCGCUUCUGGGGAAAGUCUCCAGCCCCGGCAGAGGUGGCCACUCGCAAGCGUUCGUCAAGGCGACGGUCCCCCUUCCCGGGGAAGCCGCUGGCUUCCCUGGGCGUUGAAGUCGUGCUUUGUGGGCGCAGGCUCUCCCUCCCCACCGCCCUGUUUUCUAGCUUCGCUUUUCAGAUAAUGCUGUGCCUGGCAUUUUGGCGGCCGACCUUUCUGAAAGCGCCGUUUCCCCUUCAGAGUAUUCCCACUGGGGGCGAGGCAGGGCAGCUGGGAGACAUUCCCAUGUCACAGAUAGGGAACUUAAGGGGGGGGGAGAUGUGAAAGAGCAGAAUCACCCAGCCUUGGCCGCGGGAGCUGAGCUAGCAGGUUGGUCCUCACCGCCUUCCAGGAGCCUGCUGGGGUCUUGCACCCGCGGCCGAAAGUGGCCUGGCGAGACCCCUGUUGUGCGUUUUGUUAAUGAAAGUCUUGCUUGUUUUAUACAAACGACGGCUCUAGGGAGAUGAUGCUUGAAGCCUGGGAGAUGAGUUAUUGGCUAAGGAUGGAGCCUGGUUUCAGGGAAAAGUUUUCAGGCACAAAUACAGGACUGCCUGACAGCAAAAACACAGCCUUGGGGCAGCAAGGAGGCCUCGCAGGCCGGCUGAGAAGGGAGUUGAGGCCUGGGGGUUCCAGCAACUCUCAGCACCCAAGGAGUUGCUCAUGUCCCCUCCCAGUUUUCCUCAGUAGACUUUGGAAAGGACAGUGUGGCCUCCUGCAGAGAAUACUGGAUUAGGCGUCGGAAGAAUCAGCUCCAAGGGCCGGGCUUCAGGGCUGGGCAUGCUCUUUUUAACAGCAUUUGUAGGGUGGGUUCACACCACCUGCCCCAAGAAUUGUUUGAGGGGCUUCCACUGGCCAAUGUCUGAAACAGCUUUGUAAACCUUAAAGGAUGUCCAGAUGGCGGUGUUACAGUAGGGUGAAGUGUGAAUAGACUGUCUUCUUCCUGUCCCUUUAAGGAAAUUCAUGGACAGCAGUCCAUGAAUUACAAAAAAAAAAAAAAAAAAAAAGCCUCAUAAUUGAAGAUCUCUUGUACCAAAGUUCAUACUAAAGAAAUACUUGAUCUUCAUUUAUUUUUAGUUUGACACAUAUAUUUUGUAUUAUGUUAUUAUUACUUUGUCCAUAAUGGUUACUAUGCUUUGAAUCAGUGAAAAAUUUCUUGGGUGAAUUUAUUGCUUGCCCAAGCCUUCCCUGUAUCUCAGUAUCACACUACCGCUCUCUGCGUGUCCCCGAUUCAGAUAUUUCCUUUCUCUCGUUUGUUCUGUGGAAACUCAAGGGGACUCUUUCUAUUUCUUGUUUUUGGAUACAUUAUAAAAUAGGAAAUGUGAAAGGCUCUCUGAAAAAGCAUUUUCACAAUCCACAGUUGACAGUUCAUUUUGAUACUGAAUAUUUCAGGGAAUUUGGGGGCCAGACCAGACUUUCAAGACAGCUCACACCCUUCAUUUUUUUAGAUGAGAAUAUUGAGGCCCAGAGAAGACAGUGAUCAGGCUGAGGUUACCUAGCAAGAGUGUGGAGGAGACCGGAUGGGCAUCUGCAUUGCCUAGUAUUUUCACCGUGCCUUUUUUUUUUUUUUUUCCAUGUUUUCACUUUGCGGUUACUUUUCACACUAGACACAGCCUUACCCCACCGAGUACUCCCAAAACUGUGGAUGUAAAUUGAACCUUUCAAGGUUGAAACAUAUUUGAGAUCGGAAGUCAUGUUUGAGAUUUCUGAAGUUUGUGCAUUUAGGAAAUGUGGGUGAAGGUAUCAGACUACCUCCCUAACAUUUGAUUGGUUUUCUGAGGCUUGGAUGGUGUGUGUGUGUGUGUGUGUGUGUGUGUGUGUUAAAUGGCGUCAACACUCACAGGUUAAAAAAAAUGGGCAACUCUUGGAAAAGGCACAGGUCUGUUUGUGAAUUAAUGAGGAUGGGUGUGGAGGCUGGAAAGCAGAGAGAUGCUGGAAGAUUCGGUGCUUAGUAGGGCUGGAAAAGCCAUUUUGACCUUGGCAUCUCAUUCCCCUUCUCCAAGACAGGAAGGACGGUCAGAGAUGAUUCCAGCUUGAGGACUGUGCUGGUUGCAACGUCUGACUCCACCCAUUCUUGUAGCAUUUUUGCACACUAAUUUUGGUUUAUGUGUAUGUUUUAGACAAGGUGACAAAGCAGUUUCCCCCCAACCUUGCCUCCUUUUCUUGGGAAAUAUAGCCCUGACAGAGUCUUUAAGAAAUAGGUUGAUAGUGGAGCUGCUUUAAAAUGGGGGGAAAAAAAAAAGCUGGUGACCAAUAGCUGUUUUGUUGGUCUUACAGUGUUUGGGAUUUGCUUUUUCUUUGCUUUUUAGUUUCCUGGUGAGUAAUAAGUGUUUGUGUCUAUUAUCAAUAAUAGCUAAUCCUUAAGCCUGCUUACCUGCCUGCUUCAUCUGGACUACAAAAAAAUGUUUUGAUUCCUCCUUAAGUUGCUUGUUAAAUUCUCCUACGGGUGACUUUAAAUAUUUUUGUUUUGCUUCAGAACAACGGCGGAGGAACUGAGCGAUGAUGUUUUGUUUGCAGAUGGUUUAAGAAAACAGAGCGGACUGGUUUAUGGUUAGACUGUGACUUUGAGUUGAUUUCAGGUUGAGCCCUACAAUAAAGACAACCACGGAUACCCAAGCUUUCCUGAGCAGAGACAAUCCUGGCUCUUGUGUGAGCAACAUUGGUCAGCAAAGAGGUCAUUUAGCUCCUAAAAGUAAUCCUUGCUUGGGGUUGAGGCCGAGGGAGAGUUGCUGAGUGGCUGUGGGCCUGGGUUUAGCCAGCACAUCAUCUGCAAUUACUUCUUCGUCCAUUCACUGCUUGGCCAAGGGAAUUAUUUUGAGUGCAGUGUAAGAGGCAAUUUUCUGUGUGUUUCCUUUUUAACCUAGUGCCGCUGGUAAUAUUAUAAUUAAUGGGCAACAUCGUAUGUGCCAAGGGUUUGGGUGCAUUAAGUCAUUUGACCAUUUCAGAAAUACUAAAAGGUAGGAGCCGUUUUAUCUGAGAGAGAACUGAGGCUGGAACUCACCAAUGAUUCAUAACCAGUAUGUGGUAGAACCGGGUCUGAUGUCUCCACCGCCCCAGUUCACUGUCCUGUGCUGAACAAAGCCGUGUGUUUUAUUUAUUUAUUUAUUUUUUAUUUUUAAAAAGAAAAAAAAUUUUUUUUCAACGUUUUUUAUUUAUUUUUGGGACAGAGAGAGACAGAGCAUGAACGGGGGAGGGGCAGAGAGAGAGGGAGACACAGAAUCGGAAACAGGCUCCAGGCUCUGAGCCAUCAGCCCAGAGCCUGACGCGGGGCUCGAACUCACAGACCGCGAGAUCGUGACCUGGCUGAAGUCGGACGCUUAACCGACUGCGCCACCCUGGCGCCCCAUGCCGUGUGUUUUAGAGAAGGUCUUCAGUGUGCAGCUAAGAGAUGAGGUGAUGGAUUUUCGGGGAUGAAGAACAGGCUUGUGGGCCCUGAACCCUGAUGGGGCAGGGAGUCACUGUGGCUUCUCUGAAUCCUACUAUAGGAUCUGCUCCGUCCGUGCCACUGACAACCCAGGUGCCUCUUUCCUGCUCCUGUUGCUUUGAGACCCUGAGUCUUAGUGGAGACGGGGUGUGGAGGGGAAAGACCUGGGUUCGGGUCUUUGCUCUGCCAGUUCGUAGCUGCAUCAACUUGGGCAAAGUCCCUCAAGCUCUGUGACUCCUCAUGUCCUUAUCUGGAAAAUGGGACUGACACUUCCUGUUUCACUGGGCAGUUGAGAGGAUCAAAUAUGAUAGAAGAGGAACUGCUGUGUAAAAUCGGAGGCACGAUUCGAUUGCUGGCUGUGGCUGCUGCUGUUAUUUGGGGACAAGUGGGGCUUCACAUCAUUAGUUCAUAUAACAAAUACCUAUCAAGCGUUUCUCACAGAGUGGCACCUGCGGGCGUGCAAGAUGAAGUUAGCACAUUUUUUUUUUUUUUAAACUAUUAAGAAUGAUUUAUUUUAGGGGAUGUUAGUGGAAAAAAAUAGUUGCAUAUCAAGUCCAUGAUUUUAUUUAUUUUAUAUUUAAAAUUUUUUUAAAGUUUUUAAAAAACGUUUCUUUAUUUAUUUUGAGAGAGGGAGGGAGGGAGAGAACCCCAAGCAGGCUCCCUGCUGUCUUCGUGGAGCCCGAUGCGGGGCUUGAACUCACGAACCGUGAGAUCAUGACCUGAGGUGAAACCAAGGGUUGAACGCUUAACCGACUGAGUCGGCCAGGUGCCCCUCAGGUCCAUGAUUUUAUAGGUAGAUUGAGACUAAAUGGAGUGUCAUGGUAUAUAAAUUUGCUUAAAUUUAAUAAAAAGCUGAUCCAAAGGAAAAUACUGGGUGAAUAAUUAUGUAAGGGUGGUAUGGUUAUGGCAAACUUGUAAAGGUGAAACAUUGCUUAAGUUUGGGAGAUACUGGGUGUGCAGCAGGCACUGAGUGGAGGCCUGUGGGUAAGAAAGGGAGCCUGUCUUCAUGACUUACAGGAUUUGGGAGUGAGACAUUACUCUGAUUACCCCCAGCUAACCAGUGACAGUUGUGAUGUAGGCUGUGUGUGUGAUGUCCUUGUUGUCCUCCACACGUUCCCCGCCCCCAGCUUCUACAGGGAUGAGUCGGGCAGGGAUCUACAUCGAGAUCCCUGGAGGUGGCAGAUAUAUCAGACCAGAGAAGUCCACAGCAACUUUGCCACCACCUUGUGUGGCUUUCCAGUGGCUUCUCUGGUGACACCUAUGGGGACAGGAGCCAUAGGAAAUUUGUUAUUACUUCCUUAUUAGUGAUAGCUGUGGUCUUCCCAUUGUCUUAGAAUUUCCAUGGCAUGUAAAUGCCCGGGUGGAGGGCUGGUGGUAUUGAGACCGAGGUUGGGGGGCAUUUUGAAAGCAAAGUAGUGUCAGCUUCCACAGAAGGUCUAAUUUUAAACAUGCAAAUAAUUUUCAGUUCCACUUUUCCUUCUUCCUGUUAGAGGAAAGCUGUACCCUGUUGCCUUUUCUGAGUUUCGAGCAGACAAUGUCGUCAUUAUGCCCCAAACUAUCUCCUUCUCCAGGGCAGGAAUGGGUGGUGGUUUUCUGGGUGCCUGUGCUGGGCCCCAGCCCAGUGUUAGUUCAUGGCUUCUGAGUAAAUAAGUGAGUGACUAUUAAAACAUAGUACCAACGUGGAGUCUAUAUAACACAGUGGUUCUUAAUCUUCCUGGGGAGGGGGAGGUAUUAAGACCCUUACAGAGUAAGUAAAAGCGAAGCUUCCUUUCCACAAAAGGAAUGUACAUAUUUGCAAUUUUGUAUCCAAUGUCAGGGGUUUCAUAGGCUCUUCAAAAUAGCCUAUGAAUCUCAGGUUAAAAACUCUCCAAUGUAAAACUGUAUACUGUUAGAAAAAUACUAGUCUUUUUCAAAGAUAACUACUGUGGGCAUUCUUGGUUUCCUUCCGGGUGGGGGGAGGGGGAAUGUUUCUUUGUAUUGUAUGCAAGUAUCUGUAUUCAUCUUUUUAAAAAAUUACAUUAAAGAAAACUUUAUGUAUACAUUGUAUUCUACUUAACCUUUCGAUUUACCUUGUUGUCUUAGAGGUCAUUUAAUACCUGCUUUAACUCAUUUUUUUAAAUGACUGUCUGGGAUUCUAAUGUGUGAAUUUACCACGAUUUAUUAAACCAUUCCCAUAUCAAUAGACACUUUAAUUGUUUUUGCACCCCUCCCCCCCCAUCUCUUACAAAUCAUGCUUCAGAGACUGUCUUUGGUACACAUUUCUUGUCACUUUCAAAACGAUGUCCAUACAUUUCUAAUUUUAGGGUUGCUGUGUUAGAGGGUACAUGCAUUUAAAAUUUGAGAGCUAUUGUUAAGCUCUCCUAUAAAAACAUUGCCCCAGUUUAUACCUGCAUCCAUAGGUGUGAGAAUUGAGGGUUGUUUAAUUUUUAUUUUUUAAUUUUUUUAAGAUUAAACAAAUUUUAAAUAGUCUCUACACCCAACAUGGGACUCUGACUGACAGUCCCAAUAUCAAGAGUCGCAUGCUUUACUGAGUGAGCCAACCAGGCGCUGUGAAAAUUGUUAAAUGUUUAAAUCUGAGAGGCGAGAAGUUGUAUCCUGACUUUUACUUAUAUCUUUAUUUGAGUUAGUUGAAUAUUUUUUCUUAUGUUUUGGGGUGUCUGCAUUCCUUCCUUCCGUUUCUUUUCUGUUAACUCCUGGUUCGUUAAAAAAAAAAAAGAUUGCUAUUUUGUUAUUGAUUUGUAUAAGCUCUUUGGAAAUUAAAGAAGUUCGUCCUUCGGUUCUGAUUUGUGUUGGAAAUGCGUGUGUUUUCCAACUAUUUUAGAUGUGGCCCUUGUUCCUUAGUGACUCAGGGAUAGAUGAGAUCCCUGGGUGGUGACGAGAAUAUGAAGCGUGGAACCAGACUGCCUGAUUGCAGUCCUGGCCUCCCACCUGACUAGCUGUGACCUUGGGUGGCGCCUAACCUUUCUGACCCUUGGUGUUUACAUUUCUAAAGUGCUAAUAAUAAUGGUAGUAGUGCUGCUCACACAGGGUAGUUGGAUAAGUUGAGACUGCGUUAUUAUUGUUAAAGUUCCUUGUGUAAAUGGAUACGGAAUUAGGAGAACAGUAUUUAACAAUGGGGCGCCUGCCUGGUUUAGCCGGCGGGGCUUGUGACUCUUAAUCUCCGGGCUGUGAGUUCCAGCCCCACGUUAGAUGUAGAGAUUACUUAAAAAUAAAAUCUAAAAAAAAAGAAAAAAAAAGAAACAAUAUUUAAUGAAAAUUUUCCGUUUACUUAAGAGUUAGAUUUAAAACAUUUUUGUAAAUGUUUAUUUAUUUUUGAGAGAGAGACAGAGUGUGAGCUGGGGAGAGCAGAGGGAGAAAGACAGAAUCCAAAGCAGGCUCCAGGCUCUGAGCUGUCAGCACAAAACCUGAUGUGGGGCUCGAACCCAUGACCUGUGAGAUCACCACCUGAGCUGAAGUCGGAUGCCUAGACGACUGAGCCACCCAGGUGCCCCAAGAGUUAGAUUUAAAAAAAAAAAAUUUUUUUUUUUUAAUGUUUUAUUUAUUUUUGAGACAGAGACAGAGCAUGAGCAGGGGAGGGGCAGAGAAAGAGGGAGACACAGAACCUGAAGCAGGCUCCGGGCUCUGAGCUGUCAGCACAGAGCCUGACGCCGGGCUCGAACUCACAGACCGGGAGAUCAUGACCUGAGCCGAAGUUGGACGCUCAACCGACUGAGCCACCCAGGCGCCCCAAGAGUUAGAUUUUAAAGUUAGGGCACAUGGCCAUAAUUUUGACUUUUCAAAAUUGUGCUACAAAGUCUUCAAAUUGGAUUUAAGAGAUUAAAUCUGCAAUGGAAUGUAUACUUAUACACAUAUACAUGUAUGUGGAGCAGUGUAGGCUUUCCUGGUAGCACAAUUUAAAUUAUAUUUCUCUUUUGACGGUGCAUAUAAUUGAAUUAUAGAUUAAAUGACCGCGAGAUAUGACUGGAGAGUGGCCAGUGUGGUCCUGGGCCCAGAGGGGCACAGGAAUAUUGACCAUGUCCCUUAGAAAGACAGAGUCCUCCUUGCAUUGACUUGAGUAUUUCUCUGUGACCUGGCUGGCUCUAACUGUGGCUGCCCUGGUCUCUGGGUACAUUUUCUGUAAGGACAAGAGGAGCUAUUUAAUGCCACCAACUGAAAGUUUAAAUUUGUUUUUUUUAAUGUUUACUUCUUUUUGAGUGAGCGAGUGAGAGAGAGAGAGACAGACAGAGACAGUGUGAGCCAGGAAGGGGCAGAGAGAGAGGGAGACACAGAAUCUGAAGCAGGCUCUGCUCUGAGCAGUCAGCACAGAGCCUGAUGCAGGCCUCGAACCCACAAACCAGAUGCCCCCACUGAAAGUUUAAAGACAUAAUCCUUGGCUCUAAUUGCGGGAGAUGGGAGACCAAGAGAGUCUGUGCUGACUGCCGUCAGUUUCUAUGGCAGCAAGGUGAUCCUGCAUUUCCUGCUGCUGGCUGAACUGGUUGCCUUCUCUUCAUGUCCUUAUGUCAUGGGAGUUCGCUCUUCCCCACUGAGAGUGGACCAGGCUGAUGGUCCUGUCCCCAAGGCCUGGAGAAGGAGAGCUGCUGGGAGGUGGUUGUGGGUAUGCAGGGAGAUUGCUACCCAGAGCUUAGUGCACUGGCUUUGGAGUCAGAGAGACCGGACUCCUCCGAUUCCCAGCCAGGUGACCUUGGGCCAACAAUUCUGAUGCCCGGAGCCUCACUUGUUCUCAUCCGGAAAAUGGGGACAGCAAAGAUACCUACCAAAUAGAGUUGUGGUGGAAGACUGACUGGAUCCAAAUAACAAGUUCGUAGCAUGAAAUAAACCUUCAAAAGAUGUUGGCUGUUGUUUUAUUAUCGUAAUUUGUUGAGGUACGGGCAUAAUUUAGUACUUAAAAAGACUUAAAAAUUAUUUUUACCCUAUAGUUUAGAAAGCCCUUUGGCAUAUAUGAGCUCAUUCAACCCUUGAAACAUUCCUGUGAGUUUGUCAUUGUAAUUUAUGUCGUGGCUCGGUCUGUCCCUAGGUGACUUGUCCAACCCAGGUGGCAUCUGUCUUUGCACAGAUGUAGCCUAGUUGUAAAAGUCAGUCAAAUAUAAUUAGCUUACAAGAGGCGAAUUGGGCGGUUGAGUCCCCUGGUUGGUUCAUACAUACUUAUUAGGUUGAACCAUAUGAAAUGACUGUUUCUGGUCCUUUGAAUAUUGGUAAUUGUAUAUGAUUCCCCCUAAUAUAAUCCAGAACAUUUGUAGAAGUUUGGAAAACCAAAACAUAGAUGUAUCUGCUGUAAAACAGCGUGUUUACAUCUGUGGGUCAUAAAACCAAUUUAAGUUAUGAGCGGCAUGAAAAAGCGAUGGGCUAGAAAAUAUCAGGGUUUACCGCACGUAGAAAAGGUAAGUAUUGUGUCGUGAAACUUGUUUCAGUUAUGUAGACUUUGUGUGUCUUCAUACUGAAUUACACAGAAAGUGGAUUUCUUUUUCUUUUCUUUUUUUAAGAUUUUAUUUUUAAGUGAUCUCCACACUCCAGGUGGGGCUCGAACUCACAACCCCGAGAUCAAGAGUCACAUGCUCUACCUACUGAGCCAGCCAGGCGCCCUGAAAGUUAAUUUCUUAUUGUGGCUUUAGGCAUUGUCCAAAAAAACUGGAAGCUACUGUCAUAGGGGAUUGAGCGGCAGAAGAUGUGGGGGUGAAGGUGGCUUCUGUCUCCAGAGACAAUGGAACACCAGUAUGAAGUCCCCAAUUAUGCAUUGUAAGUGCCCCCAUAUGUAGCUGAAGACUGUCUUGCAGUGGCCGGUACAGGAAGGACCAGCUUCCAGGGAGGUGCAUAGGAAGGGAGCAGGUCCACUGAAAGCUGAGGAGGCCUACUCUUAAGUAGCUGCCCUUCUGGAAACUUCAGAGGGACCACUUCUGAAGAACACUUGUGUAGAACAAGCCUUUGGCGAUGCUUUGUGUUCUUUGGUUCAGGGUUAAGUAGAGAGCUAACACUGCCUGUUGUGUUGUGUGCUUUGGAAGAGAACUUGGGAGUCUCAGGUGGUCUGAUGUUCUGAGGGAUCAUCACCCAGCUGGGGGAUGGUUCUGAGGGAUCAUCACCCAGUGGGGGACUCACCCUUGGCCCUGCCUGGCCUUCCACCCCAGAAUGUUUACCUCCAGGUUGUGCUGGCCUCACUCCUCUCAUGCUGAUCCUCUGGGGGCCCGUAGCCCCCAGUUGGCCCGAGGGUCCUGAUCCAGAGCUGGUUUGUUCAGUUCUGACGUAAGUUAGUACUGGUUGUUGUUGUUUUUAAUAUAUACAAAUUGGAAAUAUAGAUAAAUAAAAGAAGAAAGCAAAAUUACCUGUAAUCUCCACUUCCUAAACUAUUUUGAUGGGUGAUCCUUGUCUUUAUUUAUAUUUUCUCCUUCCUUCCUUCCUUCCUUCCUUCCUUCCUUCCUUCCUCUCUCUUUCUCUCCCCCCUCCCCUUCCAUCCUAAAAUAGGACUACCUGCCACACGUGUUUUGUGACUUUCAUUUUUCGUGUCUAUAUGUGUAUUAGGACCAGGGGCAGAAGCAUCCCUAGGGGGACCCCAGAAAUCUACAGCAUAAACAUGAGGCUUUCUCCUGGAGGGUCACUGUUACUCGGUGGAAAGUGUUUUGAAACAAAUAGGGACACAGUAUAGAUUAGAUACCAAAUAUGCAUCCAGAAUGUUUUCGGUGAAUGCAAGAGACCACAAAGACAUCUCCAGUUCCUGGGGGUGUGAGUCCACUCUCUUCUGGGUUCUCGGGGGCAGUUUGUGGCAGUUUGUGAAGCAGUGACAAUGUGUGGCAAACAUUUUCCCCUGCCAGUAGAUGUUCUCUUGUGUAACCUCAGCUGUUGCAUCCUGCAUUAGACAGAGGUCCUGGAUCUCAUUUCUCCUGUGAUUAAUCUUCUAGUGUGUUUUUUUUUUUAACAUUUUUUUUUUUUUUUUUUUUUGCCACAAUCAACACUAUUCAGAUGAUUCUGUGAUUAAAUCUCUGAACCCAUCUCUGAUGAUUGUCUUCGGAUGAAUUGAGAUAAUCAAAAUAACAAUAGCAGCUACCACAGGUUGAAUAUUGUGGAUUUUACCUAUUGUGUAAUCCUAUGAUGUAGGUACAGGGAGGGAAACUGAGGCCCGGAGAGUUACGAUCUGGGUCAUGGCCACACAUCUCACCCAGCUAGCUGUGGGCUUCUUUGGGAGCACAAGAGGGGAGCCAGAUAGUAUUACCUACAUGAGCGAGGCCAUGUCUGAGUCUCCUGGAUGGACAGCUGGACUUGAGGGCCAUUCCCAAAGGUAGCAAGGCCAUCUUCUGUGGGAAGGGUGUUGCCUAGAGUCAUGCUGUGGCAGAAGUAAAAUGCUUCCAAAAGCCACAAAAGAUAAGGGUAUCUUUGCUAUAGAUAUGUGAUAAAGGCUUCCUGAAACUUUGGGGUCUUGGCUCCAAUCAAAUGAAUGACAUGUCUUGGCCUUCCUGUUGUGAAUGUAUUUGGGUUUUGUAGAAGUUGAAUUUGGGCAUGGGUGACCUGGCUUCAGAGUGUCCCGUAAGAAGAGGAGCACGGCCUUUGGUAUCAGCAGAAGCGUGGAUCCAAAUCCACGCUCUUGUCCUACACCAUGCGCCCCUGCUGUCUCCCCAGGUGCUUAUGCUUCUUGGAACCCGUUGUGUCAUCUGGAAACUGACAGUGGUUGCCAGGCCAUGAAUUAUUAGGGAUAAUUGGGGAAGGUGUAUAAGGCACCCCGUCCAGUUUAUGGUGUUCAGUAGGUACUUAAUUUUCCACUUCCGAUAUACCCCUCUUUAUUAACACACUGUCUCCUGGGGAUGCAGUUGCCAUGUGCCCAAGGUUGGAGGAGAACUUCUCUGAAGGUGUUCAACUUUUCCUUUGAGCGGGGGAGAGUGGGAGAAAGAGGGAGAGAGAGAGGAGAGAGAGAAUCCAAGCAGGCUCCGUGAUGUGCUUGAACCCAUGAGACUGUGAGAUCGUGACCCGAACCGAAAUCAAGAGUCAGAGGCUUAACCGACGGAGCCACCCAGGUGCCCCUGAAGGUGUUCAACUUUUAUGAACCUUGAUGCCUGGGAGUGUUGUUAUCUAAAGUGGCACCAAAUCCUACUGCCUGAAGAGAAACUGUAGGAGAUGUAGGCAUAAGAGCUCUUCCUUAAGACGUGUUGGCCUGUCUGAGGAUUGCCCCGCUAGACUCUGAAUCAUAACUGUCUCUAGGAAAGAAUAAUGUUAGUUAAGCUACAGCAGGAGAUCAUGUGUGUGCGUGCGCACGAGAUCACAUACAACCAAGUGAGCCUUUCCUGUAGGCGAAUAAUGGUCCUGCUUGCCAUUUUUCCCUGCUGGCGAGGCCAUCCCAGUUCAUUAAAUUCGUCCUCCGGCAACCAUUUACGAAGCACUAACCACAUCUUUUAGAUUUAGAGCUUGCCAGCCUAGCUCAUCUCUCUUAUGUCGCUAUAUACCUGCUGCAUAUAGCUUGGCCUCAUCACCAAAUGCCCAUCUUCUGACUUCAUGCCUCGACCCAUUUCUCCAGCUCAUCUCAUCCUGCAAACUACUUUCCCUGAAACCCCCUCUUUCCUUGUUCUCUGAUCCCGCGUUCUCAUUAGAGUUUAGACUUGAUACUGAAAUGGUUUUUAUAGCUCAGAUCGGGGCUUCUCUAAAAUCAUUGAUAACCUCGAAUUUAGCUUCCUGGUUGCUGGGAGUCUGUUCCUGUGAUUGUGGACAUCAGACAACAUGAAGUCACCUUUGUUGAUAGUCUCACUCUGGGCUCGUUCAUGGGACCGAGUAUAGUGCAGGGGUUAAAACCUGGCUUUGGAGCCAGAUGCCUGGAUGGGAAUUCCUUGUUUCACUUUGAUUAUGCUCAAACUUUUCUGUGCCUCAGUUUUCUCAACUAUAAAAUAGUGGUGAUAACGUGACUCCGCUCUAAGGUUGUUACAGGAAGUAUGUAAAGUAAGUAUGUAUCACAAAGAAUUGUAUAGCACACAAAUUAAACAUUCAAAAAGGGAGGACAGACGUAUUGGGGGAGGGGUAAGACUCAGACCCUCAGCCUCUGCCUGACCACUGAGUUGGCCAGCAGUCUUGAUUUCUUUUGGGAGAUGUGCACAUAGCACUUAGCCUUUGCUCGCCCCUGGAGUCUGGUCUUUAGGCUUUGCAACUGUCCAACACUGUGGUUGGGGUGAGGAUGGGUGGGGACUUCUUUUCCUUUAGCCCAGGAUUUUUCAGCCUCAGCACUAUGGAUCCUUGGGGCCCCGUUAGUUGUUUUAGGGACUGUCCUGUGCAUGGUAGGAUGUUCAGUGGCAUCCCUGCCUCUGCUCGAUGCCAGAACCCCCACCCCCUCCACUUGUGAUAAUGAAAAAUGUCUCCAGACACUGCCAGAUGUCCCCCGACGGGGAAAGCGUCCUGGUUGAGAGCCACUGCUUUAGGCCAUGCCUGUUGGGAAGGAAAGGUAUAGAUUGCCUGCACCUGGCAGUCUCAGUAGUGGGGACCCGCCCUUCUUCCAUUUUCCAUGUGACGCUGUUGGUAACUGACUUCCUCUUCCCAGUGAGACAGUAGCUAUAAACUAAGAGUGUUUACAGAUGCGACAAACAGCCAGGUUGCUCAAGAGAGGCUUCGCAUCUGACUCCCUGCUUGUUUUAGGGAUGCUGUGGUAGAGCAAGCAGUGCCCUAGGGGUCUUGGCACCCGGGCGUUGAUUCCCAUGCAACAUUUCUCCCUGUGUUCGCAGCCUCAGUUUCCUCCUUUGCAAAAUGGGGAUAACUGACAUUAUACUCCUUCUCUCCAGGGUGGGAAAGGAAGCCGGUGUUAAUGCGGUAUGUGUGGGGCCAAGGUCUGCUGUUGGGGAUGUGAAGUUGAGGGAAGGGCCCAAAUGCGCCACGUUCCACACAAGAGAUAGACCCAGUCAAAGCGAGAUCCCAUGACCAAGAGAUUGGCUGCCAAGUUCCCCCUCCCACUAGCUCCCUGGAGCAGUUUUCAGCUUCUAGAGUGUUUAGAGAGGCCCCAGGGCUGUCCCAGCCGAGGCAGGGAGACCUGCAGGAAUGAGCUGGAGGAGGAACCCAGGAAACCCACUUGAACUUGAUGGUGCUGCCAGCCAGCAGCGAGGAGGGUUGGCUUUCUGAACACUUGCUGUGCACCAGCUUUUCAGGAAAACAUCACUUUGUGAAGGCGAACAAGUGCCCCAGCUCAGUGCUGGUCAGACCUGGUCUGGGCAUACUGUUGUCUGGGGCGCCAUUUUCUUAAAUUAAAAAAAAAUUUUUUAAAAAUGUUUAUUUAAAAAAAUUUUUUUUAUGUUUUUAUUUUAUUUUUGAGAGAGAGACAGAGAGACAGAGUGCAAGUGGGGGAGGGGCAGAGAGAGAGGGAGACACAGAAUCGGAAGCAGGCUCCAGGAUCUAGGCUCUGAGCUGUCAACACAGAGCCCGACGUGGGACUGGAACUCACAGACCGUGAGAUCAUGACCUGAGCUGAAGUCGGACGCUCAACCAACUGAGCCACCCAGGCUCCCCACAAUAAAAAAUUUUAAAAGAAGAUAUCCAUCCCCUCAUUAAUUCCCUAACAUUUAACUCUAAAUCUGACCUCUACCUCUGACUGCCUGGCUCAUAUCUACUUGUCCCCUGGACAUCUUCACUCAAAUAUGUAUGUAAUAAGCAAAUUAAAUUUUUGAAAAUGUUUUAUUUAUUUUUGCGAGAGAGUGAGACAGAAUGUGAGCAGGAGAGCGGCAGAGAGAGAGGGAGACACAGAAUCGGAAGCAGGCUCCGGGCUCUGAGCUGUCAGCACAGAGCCCGACGCGGGGCUCAAACUCAUGAACCAUGAAUUCAUGACCUGAGUCGAAGGCGGACACUCAACCGACUGAGCCACUCGGGUGCCCCUGGGGCUCCAUUUUCGUGUACCCAGAUUCCAGCCAGUUAUUCUGAGAUGUCCUCAGUGCUCUCAUACCCUGUGUGCUGGACUCCACUUCAUCCUUCAAAUGACCUUGUCCGUUUUAGAAGGGAGGCACCAAGAGAUGAAGGGACUUGCCCAGGGCCAGGGAUGCGGCUGUUCACCAUCUCGCUUCCACUGCUUUGUGACCAACAGCAGCACAGUGCUUCUAAAGGCCCGAAUUUUCUCAUGUGCCAAAUGGGGAUAAUAAAUGAUUUCAGACGAUUGUGAUCAAGAUUCCACAAGAAAAUGUAUGGUGCCUGGCAUACAGAGAGUGUCCCACAAAUGCCAGCUGCUGUCCUUAUUAUUGUUGCAACUAUCAGUGAUAGCACUGGUGAUCACUUUGAUGAGCCUUUCCAGGAACAGCCCUGGCUGGCCCCGGAGUCUGUCUCAGGCCCUGUUUGGGGGUGCAGCUGCCUGGGGCAGGAUGCCACCUGGGGAGGACAAAGAGUCUGAGAGUCAGGAGAUAAAGCAAAACCUGCCCUCAGGGAUGGAACGUGUGAUCUCACAGUCUGGCCUCCGACCAGCUGAGCUCAUUGCCAUGCAACUUGGUAGUUAAUCAUUACUAGUAAGAAGAUAAAAAGGAUCAGCGCCUCAAAGAAACGUCAGAGUGAGAAAGGACCUCUGGGGACAUUAGGCCAGGGAAGACAAAUGGGUUCCAGUUUGUGUCCAUCUUCAAGUGACUGAUAGGGGCUGCUCAGGUCCUGCGUGUGGAAGGGAGUGUUAGACCACUGGGGUUGGGCUAGCUCAGCAGGAGAGUGUGCUGGGAUCGAUUAGUGAUGUCUGCCGUGGCCACAAGAAAGGCAAGAGGCUGCGUACCCGCUGUUUUAUUUGCCCUUGCCCUCCGAGGCUUAAGACUUGCUCACUGGAGGGUCACCCAGCAAGUCUUCAAACCACAAAAAUCUCUUUGGAAAAGGUGUCUUUGGUGUCUGGUUCUUGAGUUUCAUCUCUGAGAAAGUGAUCUUUGUUUGACUGUGCUCAGCAAAGAGGAACUUGCUGUCCCAGAAGGCAGCACGUUCUGUUUUUGGGCACUUCUCCCAGUUAGUGCUUAUACCAUUGAGGGGGAAGAAGGCCUUCGAAGCCACUCGACGUGGGCCCUUCUCAGCCGUGGCUCCUCCUGGGGAGCUUUUAGGAGAUCUCGAUUGGAGGCCCGCACUCCUGAGUCGUGGGUUUUGAGUAUCUGGAUGGGUGGGCAUCCCUGGUGCUGUUGUCUUUCUUCCAACUCCUCACAUGAUGUUAAUGUAUAACCAGGGCUGACAACUACUGAGACCACUUUUUUUUUUAAGUUUUUUGGAAACAGAGGCCCAGAAAGGACACGAUUGUCCAGGGUUACAGAGGAUUAGUAACACAAGGACAGGGAAACCCAGGAAGAAAGAUCCUUUAUGAAGUGCCAGCCCUACGUGAGGCUCUUUUUCUUUCACCCCGAGACUCUUCUCGUCCCACAAAGUCACAUUACGCCCCUGCCUGAAACCCUCUGUGGCUUCAUGUCUCACUUAGUAUCAACCCCAGUGGUGGCCUGGACCGGGGAUCUGGAUGUGAGCAGAUCCCUCCCUUCCCUCUCACCUCCCCUCAUCCCCCCCCCCCCCCCGCCCCUUUUUACCAACCCCAGUCACAGCCGUGCUGUGGACGCUGGACCCCACCCCACUGUCACCCUCAAGGGGCACUUGAUGCACCAUGACCCACGGCCUCCUGGCUGUUCUUCUCAGACCCUUCUCUCCCGUUGUCCUGCCUCAUCUCCUCUGCCCUUACCACCGCCUCAAACUCUGUCAUUGGUUCACGGUUUCCAUUUGCCCACCCCCUGGAGUCUGGACUUCAGGAGGGAGGAACCCUGUCUGUACGGUUCUCUGCUCUGUCCCUCGUGCCUCAAGCAGAGCCUGCCUCAGAAAGAUGUUUGUUGAAGGGAUGAAUUGAAAGGGCAAAAAGCCAGUAUUUCCCCAAGUUACGAUUACCUGGAAUCCAGGCUUACUGCCUCCUAGUCCCAUAUUAUUUCUAGUUAUUUCAUGAUAUGUUAAUCUUUUUAAGAAAAGUUUAUUUAUGUAUUUUGCGAGAGAGAGAGAGAGAGAGAGAGGGAGAGAGAGAGAGAGAUUGAGCAGGGGAGGGGCAGAGAGAGGGAGAGAGAGAAUCCCAGGCAGGCCCUGAGCCGCCAAGCGAGGAAUCGGACACAGGGCUCGAACUCAUGAACCUCAAAAUCAUGACCUGAGCCCAAAUCAGGAGUCAGAUGCUUAACCAACUGAGCCACCCAGGGGCUUCUCGUAAUAUUUUUAUCUUUUGCCGUGACAGCCCUAAAUGUGAACCAUAGAAAUCCUCAGGGUGAGGGGGGUUAGCUUGCUUCUGUGAAAAGAGUACAGAUUUUUAAAAAGAGUGAUCUCUGUGCCCGACGCCGGGCUCAAACUUAUAACCCCAAGAUCAAUAGUCAUAGGCUCUACGGACUGAGCCAGCCAGGUGCCCCAAAAAGAAUACAGAUUUUGAAGUCCCCACCCAGCACUGCCUCUUAUUAGCUAUGUGAUCUUGGGAAAUUUCUGAACCUCUCUGAGGCCCCGUCUUUCUUGUCUGCAAAAUGGAAUCACGGUCCUACUGAUUAGCUGACACCGACUGAAUGCUUUCUGUGUGCCAGGCACUGUGCUGAGUGCCUUAUCCGUUUCGACGAGUUUAUCCUCACAACCACCUGAUGAGGUGGUUCUCUUCUUGCUGUCAUUGGACAGGAGUGAAAAAUGAGGCACAGAGAGGUUAAGCCACCAGCCCGAGGUCACAUAGCUAAUCAAUCAAGGAACCAGGUUCAAGCUUUGGCAGUGUGGUUCUAGAGUCAGCCUGUUAGGAAUUUAUGAAAUCUUGUCCAAUGGCCCCAGCACAGGUGGUGGUGUAGAGAGGCUCAGUUAACAUUUGUUUCCCCUCCCCCUUCGUUUGGCCUUUACUCCUACAGUGACAUUUAAAUUCUCUUAAUCGUUUUUGUUCUCGUUUUUGUUCUCAACUCGGUGACAAAAGGACCCAUUUCCCGUCUGUCGGAGGUGCUCACUUCCAGACCCGGUUUCUGUUGAUGGGACCUCAGGGCUCACACCUUGCAGGCCCCGGGGGUUCAGGGUGUAUUGGGCUCUGGUGCUCACAGAGCGUGGGUGAACAAGUGCAUUUUCCCACCUAGAAAUUUCUGCCUGCAAGACCUAUCGAGGGCCUGUUUUUGUGCCAAGCAAGCAUUGUGACCGUGAUCAAUGAAACAAAACAAUAGUUCUUGGUCCUAUCGCCUCAGCUCAUCAACCCUCCAUUUAAUGUGCCCGAUUACCCAGGCCCUUUGCUGGGCUAUGAUCACUUUAAUUGGAGUCGUAGAUUUAUGAUCGGGACAGGCCUGGGUUGAGAGUCACCUUGCUGGGGCAUUUUCUGGGAGGAUUUGCCCUGUUAGGAUAAACAGAAGAAUGAAUGGCCCACACCCCAUUUCCAGUGGGUGCUUUAUUUUGGGGCAGGCAAGCCUCUGUGUUAGCAUGAGAUCAAGCGGUCCAAAAUGCGUUGUUUAAUUUUUUACUUUUUUCUUCAUUAUAUAAGAGUGGCACAACAAGAUUAAAAGGAAUUUAGAAACUAGAGAAAGGGAGGAAAAAAAGCCACAUAUUGCCUUGCAUCACAGAACUAUAAUUCCAAAGUAGUUACGGCUACAAUUUAUUCCAGGUGGUUUGUUAUCUAAAUUAAUUGUGAUCCCAGAGCAGAGACAGUUUCAGAUUCUUUAAUGCCAAACAGCUAAACGAAGAAAACGUUUUUUUCCACGGUGAUACGUGGACGAUAGGGACAUAAUUUAAAAAAAAAAAAUUUUUUUUUUAACGUUCAUUUAUUUUUGAGACAGAGAGAGACAGAGCAUGAAUGGGGAGGGUCAGAGAGAGGGAGACAAAGAAUCCGAAACAGGCUCCAGGCUCCGAGCUGUCUGCACAGAGCCCGACGCGGGGCUCGAACUCACGGACCGUGAGAUCAUGACCUGAGCCGAAGUCGGCCGCUCAACCGACUGAGCCACCCAGGCGCCCCAAUAGGGACAUAAUUUUGAAGAGCUGCAGGAUGCUACAGGGAGUGGAUAUUCUGGAAUUCACUUACACUUUCUCCUAUUUAGAUGUUUAAGCGGCAACCAGUUUUUCACUAUUACAAGUAGUGCAGGGAUGAAUAUUUUCACACGUACAGCAUUUUCGGUGAAAUGGAAAUUAUUUCUCUAGAUUCAUUUCCAGGCACCUCUCUGAUCUUUGACGACCCUCGACAAACGACUUUCUGGAAGGAGUGUGUCUCUUCCAGUGCCAUUGGAAUGGAUGAGGCUGCCUGUUUCGUUAUGCCCACCCCGGCACUGGAUGUUCUCUGUUUUUACAAACAGAUUUUAAAUUUAAUAUUUGCAUUUGCAGACCUGGGCCGUGUGGUGGCUGCCUCGCAUGGCUUUUGGACUAGGUGUGACUCCUGUAGAACCUGUUUUUUUAUGUGAUCUUAAAAAAAAAAAAUCAUUAGGGUUUUUUUUUUUAUACUGAGAGAAAAUGUCAAGUCACUGUGUCUUAUACUGCAGUCUCCACUUGUCUGUUGGUACCUAGAAAAAUUCUAAGUGCCGUCAGCCGCCAGUUGGGCUGAAUUGUGUAUUCUUACUUACCUGACUGCAAAAUCAGUCCGGUGUAUUUAUUUCAUUAAAAAAAUCUUGCUUAAUGUUUAUUUAUUUUUGAGAGAGAGAGAGAGAGAGAGAGAGAGAGACAGAGUGUGAGUGGGGGAGGAGCAGAGAGAGAGAGAGAGAGAGAGAGAGAAUCUGAAGCAGGCUCCAGGCUCUGAGCUUUCAGCACAGAGCCUGACGGGGGCUCGAACUCUCAAACCGUGAGAUCAUGACCCUGAGCCGAAGUAGGAUGCUUAACUGACUGAGCCACCCAGGUGUCCCAGUGUGUUGGUUUUAUUUUUAGAGCUGAUGUUAGGGGUGCCUGCUCUCCAAUAAGUAGUGUUAAACUCAAGUUAUGCAAUGGUUGGAUGGACAUUGCAGAUUGAAAUAUUACCCGGCACCUACUAGAUAUCUAGCCUCUUGGCGAUUACAUCUCAGACGUGUGGGAAGACAAAGUUAACUUCCAAAUCCCAGGUUUGCCGCUUGCACCACGACCUGGAUUAGCUUCCUCACCCCUCCUCCAUUACCUGCCUGCUUGUUUCCCCACCUCUAAAUUCGUGUGAUAGUGCCCAUCAAGGAGAGCUGAGGUCAGGAUUAAGAUAUUCAUGUUAUCAAGGAUUUAGCACACCGAAGGCAGGGGGAUCCUGCUGUUGGUGAUGACGUAACAGGGGCCUGAGGGGUGGGGAGGCAAACUGGCGGUCCAGAGCCUUUCCUU